rnacentral:rRNA from 1 species
AGUGAACGCUGGCGGUAGGCCUAACACAUGCAAGUCGAACGGCAGCGCAGUAAGAGCUUGCUCUUACGGGUGGCGAGUGGCGGACGGGUGAGGAAUACAUCGGAAUCUACUUUUUCGUGGGGGAUAACGUAGGGAAACUUACGCUAAUACCGCAUACGACCUACGGGUGAAAGCAGGGGAUCUUCGGACCUUGCGCGAUUGAAUGAGCCGAUGUCGGAUUAGCUAGUUGGCGGGGUAAAGGCCCACCAAGGCGACGAUCCGUAGCUGGUCUGAGAGGAUGAUCAGCCACACUGGAACUGAGACACGGUCCAGACUCCUACGGGAGGCAGCAGUGGGGAAUAUUGGACAAUGGGCGCAAGCCUGAUCCAGCCAUACCGCGUGGGUGAAGAAGGCCUUCGGGUUGUAAAGCCCCUUUGUUGGGAAAGAAAAGCAGCAGGUUAAUACCCCGCUGUUCUGACGGUACCCAAAGAAUAAGCACCGGCUAACUUCGUG